UACAGAGGGUGCGAGCGUUGUCCGGAAUCACUGGGCGUAAAGGGCGCGUAGGUGGCCCGACAAGUCAAUGGUGAAAGCUCGACGCUCAACGUCGAGUCGGCCACUGAUACUGUUGGGCUGGAGCACUGUAGAGGCUCAUGGAAUUCCGGGUGUAGCGGUGGAAUGCGUAGAGAUCCGGAAGAACACCGGUGGCGAAGGCGGUGAGCUGGGCAGUAGCUGACACUGAGGCGCGACAGCGUGGGAGCAAACAGG
rnacentral:rRNA from 1 species